GGGCUCUAACCUGAGCAUAAUGAAAUUUCAAAGAUGAAGUGAGUUGCCAGAAGUGCAAUUGCUUAGAGCAUGGAGGAAGGAAGGAAAAGCGUCAGAGAGGCAUCCCAUGAUAACUCAACUUACUCCAAAUGUUCUGGAAAUGUGACAGAUGCUGCUGCUAAGUCAUUCAGUUCCAGACCGGAAAUAUUAUAAAAAUGGGCAACGUGUUCCCUGUCCAGCUGUUCUCAGAAUGCCCAGAUCUUGGCAACCACAACAAGGAUCGAAAAGUAGAGAUACGUGCAUUUCGUCUGGAAGUUUCAAAGCUCUCAUCCCAGGAACGUUCCACAGAGUCUGGAGCCUGAGGCCCAGCGGCCAAGUGGCGGCCUUCACUGUGCUUCGAGGACCCCAUCUCACCCCUCCUGGUCUGAAGGAGGGGGGCACGAUUUGGAGGCAGCUGGGGUUACAGGAUGACAAAUGUCGCUUGCAGGACGCAAUGGGAGCUCCCACAGCAAGGCCUGGAAAACAUUAGUGAGAGAUGGGGAAGACACAAUCGCAUUACCCUUCUCUUUCUAUCCAUCACUGCCUUUCUCUAGUCAAUAAAUGUCUCCCAGCUAUUGCCUCUCGGCCUCUU
rnacentral:lncRNA from 12 species